UCUCUUUUUUCUUCACACAUCUUAGUUUAUAUGUUCUUUACUAAGUCAAUUUUAUUUUAAAAUAAAAAUUAUAGUAUGAUUCAUUAAUUUACAAGCAGCUUUUUUUGUACGAGAGGCGAGCAGGGAGUGCAUACUGAUUGCUGACAAGCUAAAAAGGAGGGAAAAGAUUCUGGUGAAUUGGUGUUGCAUGUGUAAGAAGGCGGAGGAGACCUAUAAUCAUUUACUUCCUUGGUGUCCUAUAGCGCACAGCUUGUGGUCAUUGGCUUAUGGUUUGUUAGGCAUUACGUGGAUCGCGACUGGUACAGUUAAGAAUGAAUUAUGGGCUUCGAUGGAU
rnacentral:lncRNA from 1 species